rnacentral:rRNA from 1 species
GACGAACGCUGGCGGCGUGCCUAACACAUGCAAGUCGAACGGGGUAAAGACUUCGGUUUUUACUUAGUGGCGAACGGGUGAGUAACGCGUAAGCAAUCUGCCCUACAGUAGGGAACAACCGGGCCAACGCCCGGCUAAUGCCGUAUAUUGUGGGAGGUCUCCUGACCUCUUGACGAUAGAUUUAUCGCUGUAGGAUGAGCUUGCGUCCGAUUAGCUAGUAGGCGGGGUAACGCCCACCUAGGCGACGAUCGGUAGCCGGCCUGAGAAGGUGAUCGGCCACAUUGGAACUGAGACACGGUCCAG